ACAAACAGAAACUCAAACGACAUCCACCCUGCUAGCCCAGGCUACCGACCUGGAACCUAUCCCCUGAUCGAAGAAGAAGCAGAAGAAGAACUCCAAACAAGCAAACAUCGCUCUCGCGUCAUGAUCAUCGCAUAACCUGUACCUGCAACUGUUGUUUUAGUAAUCUGUGAGCCAUGAGGACUCAGCAAUACCAUUACCAUGGGUAUCAAGACUAGCAAAGCUUAAUGGGAAAGGAAGGGGUAAAGUGGUGAGGUUGCAGCAGCGACUAAGCAAGAUAUGGUCGCUAACAUACGCAAAUGAGAGCGAGAAGAGAAACAAAGGAACGGUCGUGAAGCUAGCAAAGAAUAAGAGGUGAUCCUGAACGCCUACUUAUGCCAAACAUAACCCAGAAACCGUGUUCACUUCCGGACUCCGCCGAGAAGAGACCAUCACGACUACACACGCGGUUGAUGCGUUUUAAUUUGAAUCAGGUGUCAAGUUAUCUACAACCGAACAUUAACAAAUUCCCAUCUGCCACAUAACCGCGGGCACGGCUCUCGAAAGUUUAUACCCUGCAAAGGUGUCCCAACUUAGCCCAUGAUAAGCUCUCGCGAUCAACGAAGGAUAUUCCUUCUCAAAGGAAGACCCGAUCAGUCUCGGAAUCCCGGUUUACAAGACAUUUCGAUGAUGGUAAAACAAGACCAGCAAAUCCGCCCGAUGUGCCAACAAUCCCGAUAGGAGCUGCACAUAUCUCGUUCUCAGGGCAACACCGGAUAGGUCAGCCUACGAGUAAAACCAGCCCUCGAGUUGCCCCGAGGUGGCCCCGCAGUCUGCCCGGUUCAGACCAGCACUUAGACAAGCACUGUCCCGGGGGGGGGGGGGCUAAAAUAAAGAUGACCCUUGGGUUAAUUACUCCCAAGGGAAAGGUAAGUGGUGGUGAGGCAAAUGGUAAAACCAAGGUUGGGCCUUGCUGGAGGAGUUUUAUUCAAAGCGAAUUGUCAGGGGGGUCCCAUAAAUCACCCGACCGCGUAAGGAACGCAAAAUCCGGGAACAUAACACCGGUAUGACGGAAACUAGGGAGGCAAGAGUGGAACAAACCACCAGGAAUAAGGCCGAGCCUUCCACCCUUUACCAAAUAUAUAGAUGCAUUAAUUAAAUAAGAGAUAUUGUGAUAUCCCAACAUAACCCUGUUCACCAUGGAGCAAUCUUCAACUUCACCUGCAGCUAGCAACGCUAUAAGAGGGGCUGAGCAAAGCGGUAACAAAGCCAAACAAUGGUUUGCUAGGAAUGGUGUCAAAGGUUAGAGGUUCAUGGCAAUUUGGGAGGCUUGAUGAGCAAAAGAUAGGUAACGCAGCAUAGCGAUAGAACGAAGCAACUAGCAUAGCAAUGAUAGUAGUGAGAUCCAGGGUAGCGGUCAUCUUGCCUGAAAUCUCACAAGGAAGAAGAACGAGUCCAUGAAGAAGAUGAAGCCACGAAGACGAACCACACGUAGACGAACGCAUCCUCACGAUCGCAAUGAAACGGGAACUAUCGAGAAGAAGCACGCAACAUGGUAAACACACCACACAUAGGCAAGACAUGAUGCACAACAAGCAUGAUGCAUGACAAGGCUACAUGAAUCUACUCAUGGCAAGAGAUGAUGCAAACAAGAACAACACAUCAAGGCAAGUUUAAAUGAGGUCGGGAACAACAUAUAACAAGUCCGGUAAGUCCUCAUAUGCAAAUUUCGAAAUUGGUCCAGAUCUGAAUAAACCUUAUAUUCAAGUUGUUAAACAGCAAGUUAAGGUGCACCAUGAUGAUCUACACGAAAUUCUAGUCAAGUUACAUAUAAAGUUCAUUAGAUUCGGAGCUACGGCCUAGAAGAUAUGAGCAAAACAAGUUAAGUAUGGCAUUGAUGCAAAAUGCAUACAAACAUCAAGAAAACACUCUCAAACAUGGAUCCAACAUGAUAAUAUGAAGCUACAUGCAAAAUCAAGCAAGUUUCAUAUAGAGCACACUCAAAACGGAGCAACGGUUCAACACACACACACUAUACAAGAUACGACAACAAUCUGUCCAUAACAGCAACUAGGCAUAUUGCAAGCAUCAAAACAACAUGCUACAGCACCCCAACAUAAUAACAAAAGGCAUGGGCAUGAAGUACAGGUAAAGCAUAACAAAACCUGAACAUUAAGCUAUCUCCAGAAAUCACUAGAACAUGCUCAAAAAGACAUGGGAAGAUUGCAAAUUAUAACAGUUUCAGACUUUGCAGUAAUAACACCAGGUUGCAAUGUUUAGAGCUAUCAAACAACAUGUUACAGGAACUUAUCAUGGCAAAAAAGGCAUGGCAUGAUACUACUAAAUGUAUAGAACAAGAGUCCCUUACUGACCAUGAGCCAAAAGGGCACAGAAAAUAUGAUGACACCCAUGUAAACAUGGCAAGUUAUAUUACAGAUUCAUACAUGGCAGGAACAACAAUAAGUAGGCAUGUUUGUGAGCUUGAACCACUCACCACAGAGCAAUACAUGUCAUGGUAAGGCAACAAACAGUAAGAAUACAUGUUUGUGAAGCUAUACAUGGCAAGAGCAAGGUCAUAGGGUGCAUGGAUCACUAGCAAACAAUCAUGGAAACAUUGAACUUAAUGUUAACAGGCUGAUAGCAACAUCAUUUAGCAACUUUGGAGCAAGAUAUGAACAAUCUACAACAAGCUAUAAAUGCAACCAGGGGCAUUAAUGGAUAGAGCAUGACAUGUAUAACAAAACAUCCUUAGUGAACAUCUCCAAAAUAAUGCACGACAUGACUUGUAGCAGCAGGUCAACAUAGCAACAAAAUAUAACAGAAUCUGUCAGGAAAACAGCAACAACAAGUGCCCUACUUAGCAAGCUGUAUACACUCAGCACAAACCUCACAAAAAUACAUGGUUGGCACCCCUGGAAAGAUGUCAUAGCAUAGAUCAAAAUACAUGUAGACAUCAACCUCAUAGGAUGCACACAUCAAUCAUGGCAAAAAUGACAAAUGAGCAUGUUAUAACAGUUUCAGCAGGUUAACAGCAACAUGCACUCUUCCAACAGAAUUUCGGGCAUCAAGAUGAGCUCAAAUGAAAAUGACGCAAUGGAAAUAAAUGAAGUACUCGUCGAGACGAACAAUUUGAAAUAUUACACGCACAAAACGGAGCUACAUGCAUGGAGAUACAACAGGUCAAAGUAUGCAACAUUAUUUGAGUUUUCGGAAAAAGACUUAGGCAAAAUAGACCUCGCGGGGGUUAACUGGACGGACAGAGGAGGUUGCGGCCAAGGGAGCCAUGGCCGGCGGCGGACCGAUCACCGGUGAGCCUGGGGGCGCGGAGGAGGCUGGAGGAGGCCGGGGACGGGCAGAUCCGGCCGCGGGGCAUCCAUUCCCGGCCGGAGUAGGCGCGGGUUGGCGAGGUUCGGUGGCGGCGGCGUCCAUGGGCGGCGGCGGUUCCUGGGGCAGCAAGGGGGCUCGGGUGAGAGAGAGAGAGAGAAGAAGAGGGCGCGACAGGGAGGGGCGGUGACCUGGGUCCGGCGAGACGGUCUCCGGCGGGCGGCGGCGCUCGCCGGCGNNNNNNNNNNNNNNNNNNNNNNNNNNNNNNNNNNNNNNNNNNNNNNNNNNNNNNNNNNNNNNNNNNNNNNNNNNNNNNNNNNNNNNNNNNNNNNNNNNNNNNNNNNNNNNNNNNNNNNNNNNNNNNNNNNNNNNNNNNNNNNNNNNNNNNNNNNNNNNNNNNNNNNNNNNNNNNNNNNNNNNNNNNNNNNNNNNNNNNNNNNNNNNNNNNNNNNNNNNNNNNNNNNNNNNNNNNNNNNNNNNNNNNNNNNNNNNNNNNNNNNNNNNNNNNNNNGGCGCGGGCGGCCGACGCGCUCGGGCGGGCUGAGCGCGGGCCCCGCGGGCCGCGGCGGGCACAGGGGAGAGAGAGGGCGACGUGGUGCGUCGUGGUUGGCCGGUGGGCGGCGGCUGGACAUGUCCGGUGGGGCGCGGACAUGUCCGGCGGCUGGAGGAGGAAGAAGCUAGGGUUAGGGUAGGAUUUGACCGCGAAUUUCGGGGGAGGGGCUAGUUUUAUAGGUAGAGGGAGCUAGGAGAGUCCAAAUGAGGAGCGGUUUUCGGCCACGCGAUCGUGAUCGAACGACCGAGAGCAUGGAGGGGAGUUUGCUGGGUUUUGGGCCACUUUGGAAGGGGUGUUGGGCUGCAACUCAAAGAGGCUUUAACGGUUACCCGGUUAACCAUUGGAGUACCAAACGACCUCCAAAUGGCACGAAACUUGACAGGCGGUCUACCGGUGCUAUACCAAGGCCGCUUGGCAAACCUCGGUCCAUUCCGAGAAAGUUUAACACCCGCUCACAAUGAGAGACAAAAGGGGGACGCCGGAGGACAUAGGAGUGCCGGAUCGCAAAAUGGACAACGGGGAAAAUGCUCGGAUGCAUGAGACGAACAUGUAUGCAAAAUGAAAUGCACAUGAUGACAUGAUAUGAAAUGCAUAUGAUGACAUGGCAAAGUGCAACACGCGAGAAAAUGACAUGGCAACGACGGCGAAUAACUGGCAAACACCUGGCGCAUCGAAUCCGGGGCGUUACAACACUCCUCCACUAACAAGAGAUCUCGUCCCGAGAUCUUAGGACCGAGACGGAAGGUAAAAAGGGAAUAGGUGAAACAAGAACACAAGAGAAGAAGCAAAGAAUCGAGAGCACUCGAGAAGAAGAGAGGACCGGCGAGAAUGACGAGAAUCGAAAGCUCACGGAAUCAGAUAGACUAUGAAACCACUCGUUCUAACCGGAGUGGUUAGAAUGAGAAAAGAAACGAAUAAGACUGAAAUGAUUUAGGUAGCACUCCGGCUGAUAAUGGGAGGAUUAGAACGAACUUGAGAGGAUGGAAUGGUACUUGAUGAACUCUUGAAGAAUGAAUUAAAUCAUGAAGAAUCGCCAUGACGUACUCCGGUAAAAAUAAAGGAUGAUGAGAUAGAAUGAAGGAUUGAAGAAUAAGAUGAGCCUUGAGAUGAUUUAGAUGGAGGUUUCCGACGAGAUGGCCGAGGAAAAUUGAACUCCGGAAAAGAAAAGAUGAAACACUUGGAGCUAGAAUUUAUUCAUGAGGAACAAACUCCGAAGGAAGGGAUUAAUCACUUGGAUGAAAUAAGAAUAAGAUUUAUUGCAUGCUUAUCCUUCACCAAAUUAACUUGAUGACAAGCAAUGGAUUUAGCAUACUACUUAUUCUUCUUGAAAAGGAUUAAGGGAAAUAUGGCGCAAAACUUGAGAAAGACUUCAUGAACCACCAGUAGGAUUGAAAAGAACGAAUGGAUUAAUAUGAUAAACAAGGAAAAGAAUCUGAAAGAACCACCGUGAUAAUUCUAAAAUGACUGAUGAAAGAGACUGAAUCACCGGGAAGAAUUAGAAAAGCACAAAGAUACUUGAGGAAUAAAAGACAAGAUAAUGGUGGGAUCGCGAACUGGUUGAAGAAUACUUGAACGAAGCACCGGGAGAAUAUAGAGACGACCGAAGCUGAAAACUUAGAACAAAGAAAUCUUCCGAAAAGAUGACCUCCGGAUGAUCGAGAGAGAAAGCAACUCCUGAAAUACUCCGGAUGGAUGAAAAGAAUAUCAGACAAAUGGAAUAAUUCGAGAGGAUAACAUGAAGCUAGAACCGCGAAUCUUCGAGAGAACAGACAAGAUUUAGAGGAAAAACUCUUCUUCUAUCUUGAAAUGACGACAAGGAACACCACCAAAAUUACUGAGAUACUCCGGGAGAAUGGCAAGCGAAGAGGUUGAGCCAACAAUGAAAUGAUUUGAAAUCGAUCUUGGAAAAGGCAUGUGACUGAUGAAAUUCAUUCUUACGUCACACUUUAAAAGAAUUUGAGAAUAACUCCGGGGGAUUAUAAGAGUCAGGUAAGAUCCUGGGAAAAGACCUGUGGGUUAGGGCCCACUAAAAGGAAAACAUGGUAGAAAAGGGAUGUUGAAGAGGUAGAUGAUGCACCCGAACAAUUGAAAUAUUUGAAUGAGGUGACAACCUCGAAUUAAUUGGAACACAGACGAAUCUCUGAGAUGUCUUCCGAACUCCAGAAUGAUUAAAUGGUGAUAGACGAACGAUCAAAGGGAAAUAUUUGAGCUGAGGGAAAGAAUAUGAUCAACACCGAAUACUUGAAUUAAGUCCACCAGAAAAGAAAAGAGAUGAAGAAUGGCAAACAAAAGAGAAUUCACCGGUUGAAAUGAUUGAGGGAAAACUGAAAGGCUCCAUACAAAUGAAAUAGCUUCUCGAAUAGAUGCUCAGACUCCGGGAAGAAAAAGGGGUGGGAGGGCGGUAAAACUAAGGCAACUUGGAAGGGGAAAUCGACGAAUAUCUUGAAGAGAAAACACCGGUUAAAAUCAUUGAGGAAAGAAAUCAAAGACUUCGCACGAGUAGGAAGGGUACUCGAUUACAGACUCUGGUUCAGAGAGGAAGAAGUGAGGGCGGGUGGGAAAACCAAAGACAACUUUGGAUAGGGAAACAACAUCGACGGAAAAGAGCUGAGGAUUGAUCUCCCAAAGAGAGAGAGGUUCGAAUCAGCUUGACGAGAAAUGCGCCGGACAAAAGAGGAUGGACAACGAACGAAAACUAACCGCGAGAUCCUAAAGAAAAAUUUGAAAGGGAAGAGGAGUAGUUCAAAACACCUACAUCAAGAUUCCUUACCAGAGCGACGAAGGGGCAGAGGAGUAAAAAGAAUUCCUACUCUCCGAUAUAACUAGACUCCGAAAACAAUUUUCUUCUAGACUCAACAACGACCAAACUACACGAUGAAUCAAGGGGGCUCCUAAGGUCGGUCGAGGCUCUGAUACCAACUUGUCAUGCCCAAUAUGCGACCCUAUCCAAAAGGAACUCGAAGGACCCACCAAGGAUAGACCCUCAUAUUGAAACGCUUUUGCAAGGUGGAUAUCAUUACAUCAACAUUACAUAAUAGAUGGGGAUACAUACAAAAGGCAUACAAUGCCACACGAAUACAACAAUACAUCAUACAUAAGAUCAACAUCCGACUACGGAUGAAACACAAACAGAAACUCAAACGACAUCCACCCUGCUAGCCCAGGCUGCCGACCUGGAACCUAUCCCCUGAUCGAAGAAGAAGCAGACGAAGAACUCCAAACAAGCAAACAUCGCUCUCGCGUCAUGAUCAUCGCAUAACCUGUACCUGCAACUGUUGUUGUAGUAAUCUGUGAGCCACGAGGACUCAGCAAUACCAUUACCAUGGGUAUCAAGACUAGCAAAGCUUAAUGGGAAAGGAAG
rnacentral:lncRNA from 1 species